GCCACGGCCAGAGGGCCUGCUCGCGCGCGCAGGGGUGAGGAUGGACGUCGCGCCGUGGUGGCUGGCUAGGGGGCAGGGCCGCCAGGCGCCAGGGGCUCGGCCGUGGCUCACCACGCGCGGGCGCCGGUCGCCGCGCUGGGCUGCCACGCCGCCGCGGGCAGGAGCCAGGGGAAGAGACGGGAUAGAGAAAGAAGGAGAGCGUGUUGAGGGGCUAUGGACGUGCUCAUCUCGCCGGAGGUCAGAGGGAGCGGGCUGCCGCGCCAGCUGGGCAAGGGCGUGCUGGUCAUGGGCAUUGUACAGAUUUCGUAGGGAAGAAGGGAGGAGAGUACUCACCAGUAUAUUGAAUGGCAGAGCAUGGGCGUGGGAAGAGACGUCAUCGCUGGG
rnacentral:misc_RNA from 1 species